rnacentral:rRNA from 1 species
UACGUAGGGUGCGAGCGUUAUUCGGAAUUACUGGGCGUAAAGCGUGCGCAGGCGGUUUUUUAAGUCAGCUGUGAAAUCCCCGGGCUCAACCUGGGAAUGGCAUUUGGGACUGCAAGGCUGGAGUGUGGCAGGGGAGACUGGAAUUCCUGGUGUAGCAGUGAAAUGCGUAGAUAUCAGGAGGAAUACCGAUGGCGAAGGCAGGUCUCUGGGCUGACACUGACGCUCAUGCGCGAAAGCGUGGGGAGCAAACAGG